GAGACCGGCGCACGGGUGCGUAACGCGUAUGCAAUCUACCUUUCACAAAGGGAUAGCCCAGAGAAAUUUGGAUUAAUACCUUAUAGUAUAUAUGAAUGGCAUCAUUUAUAUAUUAAAGAUUUAUCGGUGAAAGAUGAGCAUGCGUCCCAUUAGCUAGUUGGUAAGGUAACGGCUUACCAAGGCAACGAUGGGUAGGGGUCCUGAGAGGGAGAUCCCCCACACUGGUACUGAGACACGGACCAGACUCCUACGGGAGGCAGCAGUGAGGAAUAUUGGACAAUGGGCGCAAGCCUGAUCCAGCCAUGCCGCGUGCAGGAUGACGGUCCUAUGGAUUGUAAACUGCUUUUAUACGAGAAGAAACCCUCCGACGUGUCGGAGCUUGACGGUAUCGUAAGAAUAAGGAUCGGCUAACUCCGUGCCAGCAGCCGCGGUAAUACGGAGGAUCCAAGCGUUAUCCGGAAUCAUUGGGUUUAAAGGGUCCGUAGGCGGUCAGAUAAGUCAGUGGUGAAAGCCCAUCGCUCAACGGUGGAACGGCCAUUGAUACUGUCUGACUUGAAUUAUUAGGAAGUAACUAGAAUAUGUAGUGUAGCGGUGAAAUGCUUAGAGAUUACAUGGAAUACCAAUUGCGAA
rnacentral:rRNA from 1 species